GAAGAACCAUUCAAACCUGGGAGGCAGAGGUUGUAGUGAGCUGAGACUGUGCCACUGCACUCCAGCCUGGGCGACAGAGACUCCAUCUUAGAAAAAGAAAGAAAACCUCCCAGACUGAAGAGAAGCAGCCCCAGGGGCAUGCACCCUCAGCUUCCCCCUCCAAACUGGCUUCAUAUGUAACCCUCAUGGGAGGGAAUUUCUGGUCCCAAACAGCAUGACAGCACUUUGAACAUUCCAGUAUCUGUUUAUAAGGUAGUGUCCGCAGGGAUUUGGAAGGUGUCUGGAGAAUGCUUGGAAGGCAGCGCGCUGACUUCAGCGGCCUCCUCCAGCCAGCAGCACGAAGGGGUGAAAGGGUCCCAGGAGCCCCACCCCACCUACCGCCAUCUCAUCCUGAGUCUGAGAGCUGCAGCCGGCACAGACCAGGCGCCCCUGGACUGAGGGUGCACAGAUUGACCCCUGGGGAAGUUUUCAUCCUGCAGAAAGGGGAGAAGAGAGGAAAAUGAAGUAACCUGAGCAAAACUCUGGGCCUGUUUCCUCAUCUGUACUCAGUGGACGUUAAGAGGACAGAUCUCAAACGAAGGCUGCAAAGGCAUCAUUCAUUCACAAAAACCACUUAGUUAACCAUUUGCUAGACUUGGUCACUGCCAUUAUGGAGGCCAUAGGCUACAAGAGGAGACUAACUCAGAAACAACGGUUUAAUUCUACAAAGGUAAAAUUGCACUUGUGAUAAGCAUUAAGAAAAAAAAAUAUUUAUUUUAUUUAUUUAUUUUUGGAGACUGUCUCGCUCUGUCGCCCAGGC